UCCUACGGGAGGCAGCAGUGGGGAAUYUUGGACAAUGGGCGCAAGCCUGAUCCAGCCAUGCCGCGUGCGGGAAGAAGGCCUUCGGGUUGUAAACCGCUUUUGUCAGGGAAGAAAAGGUUCUGGUUAAUACCUGGGACUCAUGACGGUACCUGAAGAAUAAACACCGGCUWACUACGUGCCAGCAGCCGCGGUAAU
rnacentral:rRNA from 1 species